UACGUAGGGGGCGAGCGUUGUCCGGAUUUAUUGGGCGUAAAGAGCGCGUAGGCGGUUCGGUAAGUCUGUUGUGAAAUCCUGAGGCUCAACCUCGGACGUGCGAUGGAUACUGCCGGGCUAGAGGAUGGUAGAGGCGAGUGGAAUUCCCGGUGUAGCGGUGAAAUGCGCAGAGAUUGGGAAGAACACCGGUGGCGAAAGCGCUCUGCUGGGCCGCAACUGACACUAAUGGACGAAAGCUAGGGGAGCGAAUGGG
rnacentral:rRNA from 1 species